rnacentral:rRNA from 1 species
AGAACGAACGCUGGCGGCAUGCCUAAUACAUGCAAGUCGAACGAAGGCUUCGGCCUUAGUGGCGCACGGGUGCGUAACGCGUGGGAAUCUGCCCCUUGGUUCGGAAUAACAGUUGGAAACGACUGCUAAUACCGGAUGAUGACGAAAGUCCAAAGAUUUAUCGCCAAGGGAUGAGCCCGCGUAGGAUUAGCUAGUUGGUGAGGUAAAGGCUCACCAAGGCGACGAUCCUUAGCUGGUCUGAGAGGAUGAUCAGCCACACUGGGACUGAGACACGGCCCAGACUACCGU